rnacentral:rRNA from 1 species
AGCGGCGGAUGGGUGAGUAACGCGUGGGACCUGCCCUAAAGUUCGGGAUAACAGCUCGAAAGGGUUGCCUAAUACCGGAUGUGACCGAAAGGUUAAAGGUAGCAAUAUCGGCUUUAGGAUGGGUCCGCGUCCCAUUAGCUAGUUGGUGGGGUAAUGGCCUACCAAGGCUGCGAUGGGUAGCCGGCCUGAGAGGGUGGACGGCCACACUGGGACUGAGACACGGCCCAGACUCCUACGGGAGGCAGCAGUAGGGAAUCUUCCGCAAUGGACGAAAGUCUGACGGAGCCGACGCCGCGUGGGGGAAGAAGGUCCUUCGGGUUGUAAACCUCUGUCCUCAGGGACGAAGAGGGUGUAGAGAUGCACCGAAGACGGUACCUGAGGAGGAAGCCCCGGCUAACUACGUGCCAGCCGCAGC